rnacentral:rRNA from 1 species
GACGAACGCUGGCGGCGUGCUUAACACAUGCAAGUCGAACGGAGCGAAUGAAAGCUUGCUUUUAUGAGCUUAGUGGCAAACGGGUGAGUAACACGUAGACAACCUGCCGACAGGAUGGGGACAACAUUCCGAAAGGAAUGCUAAUACCGAAUGAAGCGGAGGAGAGGCAUCUCUCUUCCGUGAAAGAUGGCCUCUGAAUAUGCUAUCACCUGUCGAUGGGUCUGCGUCUGAUUAGCUGGUUGGUGAGGUAACGGCUCACCAAGGCGACGAUCAGUAGCCGGUCUGAGAGGAUGAACGGCCACAUUGGGACUGAGACACGGCCCAGACUCCUACGGGAGGCAGCAGUGGGGAAUCUUCCGCAAUGGGCGCAAGCCUGACGGAGCAACGCCGCGUGAGUGAAGAAGGUCUUCGGAUCGUAAAGCUCUGUUGAUGGGGACGAACGUGCGAAG